rnacentral:misc_RNA from 1 species
GCUGGUCUCAAUUCAUCUCAAAUAAAAGUUUAUGGGCUUCCUGUACGACCGUCAUUUGUGAAGCCAGUUCCUCCCAAGGUUGAACUUAGGAAGGAACUUGGAAUGGAGGAUCAUCUCCCAACAGUACUACUGAUGGGUGGUGGAGAAGGAAUGGGCCCAAUAGAGGCUACUGCUCGAGCACUUGGAGAUGCAUUGUAUGAUGAAACUAUAGGGGAGCCAAUUGGUCAGGUCCUAAUAAUAUGCGGGCGCAAUAAGAAGCUUUUCAACAGAUUGACUUCAGUGCAGUGGAAAGUUCCUGUUCAGGUAAAGGGGUUUGUCACUAAAAUGGAG